AGAUGAAGAAUAGAAGAGGUUGAGAAAGAUGAGAAACAGGUUAAUGGAAGUAUGAAAGAUAAGGAAGAGGAAGAGAAGAGAGGAGAGGGAGGUGGGAAAGGAAGAAGAAGGUAAAGGAAGGGAUUGGGGAAGCUCUAUAUGGGUGAAGGAAAGGAGUUGAAGGAUUUGAGGAAAGUAAGGAAGAGGUCAAGGGAAGUAUGGAUGAGAUGGAAGAGGAGAAGGAGGAGGAAGGAAAAGGAUAAAGAAGGCUAGGAAAAGAGUAGAGGGAUAGAGAUGAAAAGGGAGGUGGGAGAGGUAGGGAAAACUUUAAAGGGGUGAAGAAAAGAGAGGAAAGGAAAGAGAAGGGAAAAGAAGGCUGAGAAAAUGGAGAAAAGGUUAGGGAAUAUAAGCGAGAGAUGGAAGAUGAACAGGAGAAUAAAGAAAUGGGAGAAAUAAAGGAAGAAAAAGUGGAGAGAACGAUAGAAGGAUGGAAGACAAUGGAAAAGGUAGUAGAGAAGUUUGGAGGCAUAAAGGAAGAGGAGGACGAGGAUAAAGGAAGAGAAAUGGGAGGAGAAAGAGAUAGUUAUGAAGAUGAUGAGGUGGAGGAGUGCGUAAAAGAUGGAAGAAGAGGAGAAAUGAAGAGAGAAUAAGAUGAUAGCGGUGAUGAUGGUGGAAGAUGAGAAGAAAGAGGAAGAGGAGAUGAUUAAGAAGAUAUGAAAUUGGAGAUGAAACGCAAAUAAAGAAAGUUAAGUAAAUGAUAAUGAGGGAAGCACUCUCACUCUCACUCUCACUCUCUCUCUCUCUCUCUCUGAAGAUUAAUGUUUCAUGGAUUUAAGUCGACGGUUUAAAUGUUAGUUUCUCAUAAACCUCACUAAAUUUAUGCUCUUCGUUCCACCUCCUUUCAACUUUCGUGGUGGUGGUGAUAGUGGUGGUGGUGGUGGUGGUUGUGGUGGUGGUAGACUUUUUAUUUUUUUUAUCUUCUCCUCUUCCUCCUUCUUCCUCUUCUUCUUCUUUCUCUUUUUCUUCUUCUUCUAUUUAUGUUUUUUUUAUCCCAUUUCUUGUUUUUCUUGUUUUCUUUUUUCCAUAUUCUUCAUCAGUCUAUUCCAUUUAGUUACUUUUUAUCUCUACUUCUUCUUCCUCCUCUUCCAUGUCUCCUCUUCCUCCUCCGCCUUUUCUCCUCGUCUCUCCUCUCCUCUCCUUUCCUUCCCUUUCUUUUUCUUUCCCUUCCUUUUCUUUCUUUUCCUUUCUUUUCUGUUCCCUUUCUUUCCUUUCCUCUACUUUUCUCUCCACCUCCUCCUCCUCCUCCUCCUCCUCCUCCUCCGCAUCUUCUCGCUCAGGUGUAGCAGAGGCCUUUUACCUGCGUCUCAACACACCUGGCUUUAAUUAGUGCAGGUGCUCAUCCCGCGACCUUGAAGACCUACCUGCCGCACUGACAUACGCACACACACACACACACACACACACACACACACACACACACACACACACACACACACACACACACACACACACACACACACACACACACACACACACACAUCUGACUGCUUGCCUGCCCGGUGGAGAGAUUUGCCUGUCUCGUCUGUAAUUAUUAAUGCAGGUGAACAUAUUUUUUUUGCUUCCUCUCCUGCGAUGCUCGUAAAUAUUUGUGUGUAAAAAUAACUUGAGUCAAUUUGAACAACGUUGUGAUGAUGAGGAUUAAGAUGCUGUGAUAUGAGGAAGAAGAAGAGGAGGAGGAGGUGGAAGAUAAUAUGAAUGAUGAAGAAGAAGGAAGGAGAAGAGGAGAAAAUAGAAAGGGGAGAAGAUUAAGAUGCUGUGAUAAGAGGAAGAAGAAGAGGAGGAGGAGGUGGGAGAUAAUUUAAAUGAUGAAGGAGAAGACAAAAGAGGAGAAGGAAACAUGAGGAGAAGAGAUGUUUUGGAAUGAGGAAGAAGAGGAGAUGAAAGAUAAAAUGAAGGAAGAAGAGAAAAG